rnacentral:snRNA from 1 species
AUACUUAGCUGGCAGGGGAGACACCAAGAUCAUGAAAGUGAUUUUCUUAGGGGUAGGCUUACCCAUUGCUUAUUCAUAAGCACAUCCACUUUGGAUUUGUUUACUCCUAUGAUUUUCCCAAAUGUGGGAAACUCGACUGAAUAAUUUGUGGUAAUGGAGUGACUGCGUUCAUGCUGUGCCUUA